UAGGGAAUCUUCCGCAAUGGACGCAAGUCUGACGGAGCAACGCCGCGUGAGUGAAGAAGGAUUUCGGUUCGUAAAACUCUGUUGUUAGAGAAGAACAGCGCAUAGAGUAACUGUUAUGCGUGUGACGGUAUCUAACCAGAAAGCCACGGCUAACUACGUGCCAGCAGCCACGGUAAUACGUAGGUGGCAAGCGUUGUCCGGAUUUAUUGGGCGUAAAGCGAGCGCAGGCGGUCAAUUAAGUCUGAUGUGAAAGCCCCCGGCUCAACCGGGGAGGGUCAUUGGAAACUGGUUGACUUGAGUGCAGAAGAGGAGAGUGGAAUUCCAUGUGUAGCGGUGAAAUGCGUAGAUAUAUGGAGGAACACCAGUGGCGAAGGCGACUCUCUGGUCUGUAACUGACGCUGAGGCUCGAAAGCGUGGGUAGCAAACAGG
rnacentral:rRNA from 1 species